rnacentral:rRNA from 1 species
UACGAAGGGGGCUAGCGUUGUUCGGAAUCACUGGGCGUAAAGCGUAUGCAGGCGGGUCGCUAAGGCGGGGGUGAAAUGCCGAGGCUCAACCUCGGAACUGCCUUCGAUACUGGCGAUCUUCGAGUCCGGGAGAGGUGAGUGGAACUGCGAGUGUAGAGGUGAAAUUCGUAGAUAUUCGCAAGAACACCAGUGGCGAAGGCGGCUCACUGGCCCGGUACUGACGCUGAGAUACGAAAGCCAGGGGAGCAAACGGG